CCCUAUCUUUGCACCACACUUCCAUCUUCUCUCUAACUCCUUCACAGCCUUCACAUGAUCAGUCUAAGUCUUUCCUAGACUUAACUUCUCAAGAUAACUACUUCAGAACACCUCUGAAGCUUGAUUGAACUCUUCUGGACAUCUUCUAGAGCUUGCCCUAUUAUUGUACAAGCUCUAUCUUCUCUUCAGUUCAACACUCCCCCUCAAGCUUGACUUUAGGAGAUCCUAAGCCAAGCUUGGAACUCUGAAGAGUCUCCCUCAUUAAAAACCUUACAAGGAAAACCCAUUGGGACAAAACCUUGCAAGGGAAAAAGAGUGGAGCUCUCCAAAGCCUAGGGAUUGGCCAGUGAACUCUUGUGCCUUAGAACCAGUGUGGUUGGACACAAGAAGUUCUGGAUCACGGCCUAAACUGGUGCAGCAACUCCUCAAGACUUUGCGCACUCAACAACUCAGCUUCACCUCUUCAUGGAACUGGUUUGGAUCUCCCCCUCUCAACUGACUUCACAGCCUUCUUAGAGAAGCUAGGAAAUGACCAGGUUCUUCUUUGAUGAGGCUCAAGCACUUGUACCUGAUACAUUAUCCCAAAGGUGCAUCAGUACUUAUCAAGAAACAUCACACAAUCCAUUCAAUCAUUUUAAGUAUCAUUUCUAGACUUUAGAUUUGAAAUGAUGAAUGUAUUGAAUUGAAUUGAGCUUAGGACACUUCCCUUAUUUUAGAUGAGUUCCCACUCGGCCAUUGCACCAUCUCCAUGGCAUCAUCAGCUUCUUGGAAAGGCAGAAUGGAUUCAUCAGCUUCUCAUCAAUCACUUCACCAUAGAAGCCGCUUUGAUCAGUUCACCUUCACCCUUAGACUGCCUAGAAUAACUCCGGCUGAUGAUCCUGUCUAGGAGCCUUUGCAAAGACUUGUUACUGACCAUGGAUCAUAUGCAUUAAGACUCCCCCUCAAGCUUAGAACCGUGACUAGAAGGAGCUAAGCUUGUGAUGAUCAUAUGCAUCCCCAUGGUCUUAUAACUAUCAGUCUUUCAUGAUAGCUUUCUUCUUGUGAGUUAACUCUCUUCCUUAUCUAGGAACUAGGGUGUUUGAAUCACCAUAGAGAGACUCACAAGACACACUUCUCAUUGCAUAAUGACCCAUGCUACACUUCCUGUAGUCUUUGGACUGGAUAUGUCCAAUGGUAUUAUGCAAUGGCCAUCUCUCAUUGCAUAAUCAAUCACACUACACUUCCUGUAGAUUAUGGACUAACAUGUCCUAGUGAUGAUAUGCAAUGGCACUAGACCUUUGUCUCUACAUUCU
rnacentral:lncRNA from 1 species